rnacentral:rRNA from 1 species
UCUCAGUUCGGAUCGCAGGCUGCAACCCGCCUGCGUGAAGCCGGAAUUGCUAGUAAUCGCGGAUCAGCAUGCCGCGGUGAAUACGUUCCCGGGCCUUGUACACACCGCCCGUCACACCAUGAGAGCCGGGGGACCCGAAGUCGGUAGUUUAACCGCAAGGAGGACGCCGCCGAAGGUAAAACUGGUGAUUGGGGUGAAGUCGUAACAAGGUACC